CUAGAAUGGAACUGUGAGGUAUCUUGCAGUGUUUGCAAGCUGACGCAACCAAGCCAAAGCUCUUUAGAGACAUUAGGAUUAUGAGAAUACUUCCAGGGAUAAUAGGUAGCGUGAAUCCAUCUAAAAUAUCCAUUGGGAGGCUAAAAUACUUGGCAUUCAUUUGAGAGAAAUCAGCUAAAGCAGAACUACAGAAAACUAAAACUCCAUCACAUUCUACUCCCUUGUCUCACUGAAGCCAUCACAUGAUGCGUCAAUAUACUGAGCACAAUUUGGUAUUUUAAGCAUUUGGUAAUUGUCUGUAAAAUUGUAGGUCUCCCUCCAGAAUGAGAGUUGCAAGAAUUUUGAGGAAAAGGAAUAGGUAACUGCAGAAUUGGCCAAAUGUCUGAAGUUUCAGAGACAGCUCUGGCAUCUCUGAAGCAUUGUGGUAGCAGUGGUGGCUACCACUCCUCAAGUGUGCCACCUCUGCCCUCUUGCUUGAUGGAAAUAUGGGCAGGUAAUGACCACUUCGGAAAGGUCUAGUGUGAUUGUGAAGCCGAAGACUCCUGAAAUCCAGCAAAAGCUGAGCACUGACUGGAGUCCCUGUGAAACUCAUGAUUUUUAACUUUAAAAUAAAAUACUCUGUGUGCUCCGGUGUCAGUACCGGAUGGAUCCGUCCCUGCUCAAACUGAAGAGUAUCUCCUUAGAAAAACAGGGCAGUUGUGGGGUCAUCUGCAUGGAGGGGGAGAGGAGGAAGAACACAACAAUAGCUUGUUUUGUUUCUAAUAUAGGCCAGGGAGCAAAUGCCGGAGGCCAGUGGAGCCGUGGAGAGCAGAGUUUCACAGAGCAAGAAAGGUGUAAUCUUACGGAAAGGAAUUAUUUUUAUACUUCGGAUUGUGUUGCUGGUUACAGUAACUGUGA
rnacentral:lncRNA from 1 species